ACGCAGAAGGUCCUGGGUUCGAGC
rnacentral:piRNA from 3 species